rnacentral:rRNA from 1 species
AGAGUUUGAUCCUGGCUCAGGAUGAACGCUGGCGGCGUGCCUAAUACAUGCAAGUCGAGCGAGAAUCUUCAGAAACAAUUCUUCGGAUGCGUUUCAGGAGAGGAAAGCGGCGGACGGGUGAGUAACGCGUAGGCAACCUGCCCCUGGCAGAGGGAUAGCCAUUGGAAACGAUGAUUAAAACCUCAUAACGCUGAACUGACACAUGUCAGAUCAGCCAAAGAUUUAUCGGCUGGGGAUGGGCCUGCGUCUGAUUAACUAGUUGGUGAGGUAACGGCCCACCAAGGUGACGAUCAGUAGCCGACCUGAGAGGGUGAUCGGCCACAUUGGAACUGAGACACGGUCCAAACUUCUACGGAAGGCAGCAGUAAGGAAUCUUGCACAAUGGGGGAAACCCUGAUGCAGCAACGCCGCGUGAACGAUGAAGGCCUUAGGGUUGUAAAGUUCUGAUCUGUGGGAAGAAGAAAGUGACGGUACCACAGGAGAAAGCCCCGGCUAAAUACGUGCCAGCAGCCGCGGUAAUACGUAUGGGGCAAGCGUUAUCCGGAAUUAUUGGGCGUAAAGAGUGCGUAGGUGGUUACCUAAGCGCAAGGUUUAAUCUUGAGGCUCAACCUCAUUCUGCCUUGCGAACUGGGCUACUUGAGUGCUGGAGGGGAAAGCGGAAUUCCUAGUGUAGCGGUGAAAUGCGUAGAUAUUAGGAAGAACACCGGUGGCGAAGGCGGCUUUCUGGACAGUAACUGACACUGAGGCACGAAAGCGUGGGGAGCAAACAGGAUUAGAUACCCUGGUAGUCCACGCCGUAAACGAUGAGCACUAGUUGUUGGGUCC